UGAAGAUUGCCUUCAGUCAGCAGAUACUGCGUGGAGGAAAGUCUGAGCGUCUCACAGCCUUCACUGAAAGGACGUUUUCAGAAAGGAGAAGGAUUUAUGCACCGAAGACAUCCUGCAGAGCUGAGCACGUUCCACCUGCUCGCUCACGUCGUGUGAUGACAGGUGUGUUGGUAAAGAGGGUGGGGACCUUCUUCUGAGCCCUAACCACAGCAGCCAGAGACAAUCAGAGCCCAGCUGGCGGCCUCGUUCCUGAGGAUGUGCUGUCUGAGGGUCCAGCAGCCACUGCAGCCGAGGUCCAGGCUGUAACGCUCCUGCUGUGUGUUUCCUCACAGAUGUUCCUCUCUGCUGAGUGCAGAAUAAACAUGGAAGUCAUCGUGGUUCUGUGCAGCAGCUGAAAAAGCUCCAAUGACGUUACAGCCACUAAUGAGCCGUCUCCCUGAACUGACGGUGUGUCUGCUGCAGAGUGAAAUGUUAAUGAGGCAUUGGUAUGUUGUGAAGCUGUGAGAUGAGAGACAAACAUCAACAAACAUUGGAGCUUGGCUGGAGCGCGUUGGCAGCGUGGGGCUCUGGUUCUGAGCCCAGCCAGCCUCCUCAUGACGCCGCUGAGCUUUAAAGCAAGUUUCAUACAUCAGACCAGAGGCGCCGGUCAACAGGGGGCGCUAGAACGCCAACACAUCAACAGUGAAGCAAGGAAGUGUAGACACAGUGAAGAUAAUUACGAAAUAAAAUGUAAUUAUCACACCUGAUCUUUAAUAAAAUGUGUCUGACUUUGACAUUGUUCAGCAUUGCGGUUCCAUUUUUUAUUUAUUUGGAUUCAUGUUUCUGUGUAAGUCAUAUUCCUUAAUGGUGUGGGGCACUGGACUGAUAAGGGUGUGUGGAUGCUUUUAAACUUUUGGCUUCCAUGUGACUCCGCGCUGGCCUCUAAUUGGUUACUGUUCUUCAUCCAAUCCGAUUAAUUCCUCACACCUGUCAAUUAAAGCGACAACCCUGACAGCUCAGACGCACAAAAGUUCCUCAAUCAUGAUGCAAAUGGAGUCAGACAACAACAACGACAAGACAGGAGAGAACGGUGCAGCAAAAGAAAAAAUGAUAAUUAAUUUACAAAAUUAUAGUGUCACGAGGCUUUCAACCUGGUUUGUUUGAACUACAUUGGCUUCCUGCCCAUUUAGAUAGAUUUUAAACCUUUAUUAUUUGUUUUUAAGGCUUUUAACAGCCUUGCACCUCCUUAUUUAUCCAAGUUAUUGAGCUGUUCUAUUCCUUUAUGUCAGACAGUCAACAUUAACUCAUGGUUCCACGGACAAAGUCCAAAUGUUGGGACCGAGCUUUCUCUCUGACUACAUCUCAGCACUGGAAGCAACUUCUUACAGAUCUUCCAUCUAUUACUGAAAUUAAACUUUUUAAAUCAAAGCUAAGAUUUUUUUUUAAUUCAGGCAGGCUUUUAAUACCUAAAACUGUGGUGGCACUUCUGACUGUAUCUACGCUGUUUUACC